rnacentral:lncRNA from 1 species
AUUAUAUGGGUUAAUCUAUACCGUUAUAACUCGGUCCCACAGAUAAACGGUUCAUAAUUUCUGAUUAACGUGGGAAUUACUUGAGAGUCUUUAAUUAGUAUAAGUAUAUAUUACUUAAGAACUCCCACUCAAUUCAACAUCCCUUACGUUGUUCGAGUGUGACAUGAUCCAAAUCCACCAACCCAAGUCCGAUCAUCACGUGAGAUGAGGUGGUUUCAAUGAUGACAUCUCCAUGUUGAUUAUAUCUACUAUAUGAUUCAUGUUCGACCUUUUGGCCUCCUCUGUUCCGAGGCCAUGUCUCUACAUGCUAGGCUCGUAAAGUUUAAUCCAAGUGUUUUAUAUGUGCAAAACUAGAUUACACCCAUUGUACGCAAAUGUAGAGUCUAUCACACCCGAUCAUCACGUGGUGCCUCAAAACAAAGAACCUUCGCAACCGUGCACACUUGGGGAGAACACAAUUUUAUCUUGAAAUUUUAGUGAGGGAUAAUCUUCUAUUGCUACCGCCGUCCUAAGAAAACUAACAUGCAUAAAAGGAUUAACAUCACAUGCAAAUCAUAAUAGUGACAUGAUAUGGCCAUCAUCAUCUUGUGCUUUUGAUCUCCAUCUCCAAAGCACCCGCAUGAUCUCCAUCAUCACCGGCAAGACACCAUGAUCUCCAUCAUCGUGUCGCCAUUGCGGUUGUUGCACAAACUAUGCUUCUACCACUAUUGCUAACUCAUAGCGAUCAAGUAAAGCAAAAAAGGCACAAAUUAUUAAAGACAACCAUAUGGCUCCUACCGGUUGCUGUACUCAUUGACAUGCAAGUCAUGAUAAUCUAUACAAAAUAUGACCAUCUCAUACAUCACAUAUAUCUCAUCAUGUCAUUGGCCAUAUCAUAUCAUAACACACCUUGCAAAAACAAGUUAGACGUCCUCAACUUGUUGUUGCAUGUUUUACAUGGCUGCUAUGCAUAACUAGCAAGAACCAUUCUUACCUAGGGAAAUCCACAACCGUGAUAUUCAAGUUGCUAUUUAACCUUCUACAAGGACCGCCUCUGUCGAAUCCAAUUCAAUUAAAGUGGGAGAGACGGACACCCGCCAGCCAUCUUUAUGCAACAAGUUGCAUGUCAGUCGAUGGAACCGGCCUCUCGUAUGUGGACGAGUAAGGUUGGUCCGGGCCGCUUUAUCCCACAAUACCACCGUAUCAAAAUAAGACUAAGGAAGCAAGCAAUCUGAACAUCAACGCCCACAAACUCUUUUUUGUUCUACUCGUGCAUGUUAUCUACGCAUUGACCUUGCUCAUGAUGCCACUGUUGGGGAACGUCGCAUGGGAAACAAAAAAUUUCCUACGCUCACCAAGAUCAAUCUAUGGAGAUCAACAUCUACGAGAGGAGAAGUGCAUAUACAUACCCUUGUAGAUCGCUAAGCGAAAGCAUUGAGAAACGAGGAAGAUGCACUAGAACGUCUUCGCGAUCAAAUCACGAUCCGUCCCGAUCAAGUGCCGAACGGAUGGCACCUCCGUGUUCAGCACACGUACAUCCCAAUGACAUCUUCACCACCUUGAUCCAGCGAGCGUGGGGUGAAGUGGUAGAUGAGUUCUCCGACAGCACAACGGCAUGGUGGCGGCGGUGGUGGUGCGAUUUCAGCAUGGCUUCACCAAGCGCUUCUGCAGACGCAUUUCAGAGGAUAAAUCAAUCUGUGAAGAGAGGUAGGGUUGCACCUAUGCCUUGGGGUGGUACUACCCUCUAUCUCCCGCUCUAUAUAUAGGAUGAGGGGGCAGGUAGGGCGCAGCCUUGGCCCCUCCUCCAAGGAGGACUGGCCGGCCAAAGAGGGGAAGAGUCCACCUCCAACAAGGGAGUUGGAAAUCCUAGGGAGGACUCCUCCUCCACCCUUGGGCGUAUGGGCCCUAUAGGGGUCGGCUGCCCAACCCACCAGGGGUUGGUGCGCCACCUCUUAGGCCCAUGUGCCCCCGCGAGGUGGGUGGGCCCCUCCCAGUGGACCCUCGGAACCCGAAUACCACUUUCCUAUAUAUAAAUCUUUACCUCUGGACCAUUCCGGAGCUCCUCGUGACGUCUGAGAUCUCAUCCGUGACUUCGAACAACCUUCGGUCACCAACACAAUAACUCAACUUUGUCUAUAUCGUCACCAAAUGUUAAGUGUGCAAACCCUGCAGGUUCGAAAACUAUGCAGACAUGACCAAGACACCUCCACGGUCAAUAACCAAUAAUGGGACCUAGAUGCCCAUAUUGGUUCACAAAUAUUCUAUGUAUAUCUUUAUAAGUCGAACCAACGAUGUUAAGGAUUCAGCUAAUCCCGUAUGAAGUUCCCUUUGUCCAUCGAUAUAUUAUUUGACCGAGAUUCGAUCGUCGGUAUCUCCAUACCUAGUUCAAUAUCGUUAUCGGCAAGUAUAUUUACUCGUUUUAUAAUACAAGAUCUCGUGACUAACUCCUUGGUUACAUUGCUUGCAAGCUUUUUGUGAUGUUGUAUUACCGAGUGGGCCCAGAGAUACCUCUCCGUCAUACAGAGUGACAAAUCCCAAUCUUGAUCCAUGCCAACUCAACGGACACCCUUGGAUAUACCUGUAGAGCACAUUUAUAAUCAUCUAGUUACAUUGUGACAUAUGAUACACAAAAGGCAUUCCUCCAGUGUCAGUGAGUUGCAUGAUCUCAUGGUAAUAGGAACAAAUACAUUGACAUGCAGAAAGCAAUAGUAGUAAAGUGGAUACGAUCAAACACUAUGCUUAAGGUUUGGGUCAUGUCCAUCACAUCAUUAUCCUAUGAUGUGAUCCCAUUAUCAAAUGACAACUCAUGUCUAUGGCUAGGAAACCUUAGCCAUCUUUGAUCAACGAGCUAGUUUAGUAGAGGCUUACUAGGGACACUUUGUUGUAUAUGUAUUCACACAUGUAUUUGAAUUUCCAAUCAAUACAACUAUAGCAUGGAUAAUAAACGUUUAUCAUGAACAAGGAAAUAUGAUAAUAACCAAUUUAUUAUUGCAUCUAGGGCAUAUUUCCAACAAAGAUAGCAAUUAGUGUUUAUCUGAAAGCUAACACCUUCUGCACCCAUGUGCACAUGCUCACAAAACUCAGUCACUCAGCCCUUGAGACAAACAUAGACAUAGCCGUGUAAACCACAAAAAUCGAAAAGGAAACAAGCUUGCUAUGGAGGGCUAAUACAUUAGAUACCACUAUUCUUUAGACAAACUUGUAAGCAGGACACACCUGUUCACACCUUCAGCAUGAGAUUAAAUUUGUAAGCUAGAAAAAGAAGAACCUUUCUUUAAAUUUAAUGAAGGCCACAAAAUUGCUUCUCCAUGACGCGUUGUCGGCUUGCCUUAGACUGAUAAUGCGGUACAGAUAGAAGAAAACUCAAUUUUCCUACACCUUUUCAAUUAGCAAUGACUUAUAUUUCUCCAUGUGGUGAUAGAGAAAUAUUCCAAAUUCCCUCCGAUGAUCGGUAUCUACAAGACUGUAAAACAUGUUUCACUUGUCAAUCAACAUCAGAUGAUGAUUUAUCAUAAUAUGAAAUGAGAAAAUUAAGAAUAGAUAAUUUGGUAGAAAGAAACAACAUUCAGUUACAUAGUUCACACGCUACUUCGAUCCAUCGCUUGUGUGCAACUGGGAAACUUGUGAGGCUCUAAAUGCUAGAUGCGGCUCAUUUGCGUCCUUGGGUGGUUCAUAACGAACUAGAGGGAAACACCUGCGAUUGGGCCGGAGUGGCGACGGGGAUGGGGAGGGAAUUGUGCAGACAUAUGAGAACGUGAGCACAACACGCCCAGCAGUGCAAUGCUACGCGUUGCUUGAUCUGCGGCAGUGGCAGGCAAAGCGCAUAGCAAGAUUUGGUUGAGAGGGGAAGGGGUCCAUACCACAAAAAACGAAGUUCGAGUCGGAGUUCCGGCAGCGCAUGGAUGUAGGGGACCGACAACGCGUCAAGGUGAAAAUCUGGUGGUGCGUCGAGGCGGAGGUGGCGGCACCUAGCACCUCCUUAGCCGCCGCGAGAACUCUCCUUCUUCUCCCCUCUCCUAUUCUCCCAAAGAUGCACCGCUUUCCAGGUCGACUUCACCCGCAACCAUCGAUUGUCCCCACCGCUGCCCGUGACCGACGCAACACAGGCAACCCGUGCGAAGCGGAUGGGUUGCUUCCCGUGUAUAUACUUUCUUUUUUCCCGUCGUGGAACAAAUGCGAUUGUGGGAGAGUUUUCGUCCGCCACCUCAAAUCGCUAAACGUAUCUUUCAAUGAGAAUUACUUGUUAUAUCUACGGUUAGAUCUAAAUGAGUCGGUCUAAUUGUAAAGGUCUAAUUGAUCGGGAAUGUUAUGUGUGGAUUACGCCGGCUGCGUUUAGCAAUAAACAUGUUUGGUUGUUUAAUAGUAGUAGAGAUGCACGGCCAAGUUCGGUACUUGGGAACAUGAACUAUGUAAAAAAAUUGAAGUGUUCCCGAAAAUAUUAAUGUUCUGUCAUAGUUUUCAUCAUAUGUAGCAAAAAUAAAUAAUAUUCCAUCAAUCCUCUUUAAUUCUACAAUAAAUGCAUGUAAAUAAUUUGAAGCUUUUGUAUAUUCUUUUAGCCUCAGUUUACAGUUGACAAAAUGUGAUGUGAUGUGGUUACUUUAACAUGGACUAUGGAAAAUUGACAAUGGGAGUACAAAAAAGUCGGUCAAGUAAAAAAUAUAAUAGAAAAAAAAUGGUCAAGGCAAAUGUCAAACUCAUGCCGUUUUGGAUUUAAUAGCUUGGAUCUUUAUUGACAUAACCGUGUCCUUCCAGAAUCAACAUGUAUAGACAGAUAUACUUGUGGUAACGUGAUAUACUAAUAAUAUGCAUGCAAAUAAUAUGAAGCAUUGAAUUAAUUAUUAAUGCUUCGGGCUAAAUUGAUAUUGUAUAGUUUGCUAUCGUUUUUUUUUAGUUGAACAAAAGGUCUUUGAAGGAACUAGCAGUAUACCAAAACAUUAUGCAUACCAAGUUUAUUAUGUAAUUUUGUUGAUAUAGGCCAGUUUAUUCCUCAACCAUCUGCAAUGUAAAGAGGAUUCAAUAUCGUUUUGUAAGUUAUACUUGCAUGCUACGUUAUGCAUUCCCAUCGUAUAAUUAUUUUUUAUCUAAAAAGCAUAUAACCAACCCUUACACAAAAAAUAUAAUAUGUUCGCUUACACAAUAGUAGAAAUAAGGGUUUUCGUCCCAGCUCGAAAAACACAUUAGUCCCGGUUCCUUUAUGAACCGGGACUAAUGUUAGUAUUAGUCCCGGUUCGAGCGGCAAAGGCGCCGGUCGGGCAUUAGUCCCGGUUCAAAUGGGACCUUUAGUCCCGGUUCGUGUCUCGAAACGGGACUAACGGGUUUGGAGGAUUUAGUCCUGGUUCGUGUCUUGGACCUUUAGUCCCGGUUCGUGUCUCGAACCGGGACUAAAGGGUUUGGAGGAUUUAGUCCCGGUUGGUGUCUUGAACCGGGACUAAAGGGUAGACCUUUAGUCCCGGUUCGUGAUACGAACCGGGACUAAAGGUGUUCAGAUUUUUUUUUCUGUUUUUAAAUUCUUGUUUGUAAUUUCUGUUUUAAAUUGCUUAUAUCUUUUAGAAUAUUUGAUGUUUUUGAUUGACUCUUUUUGCAUUAGAUUCAAAAUUUUGUCUAGUUUCUGUUUGUGCCAUUAGUUUUCAAAUUUGAAUGGUUUAAAUUUGAAUUUGUUUAAAUUUGCUUCAAACCCAAUUUUUGAAUAACUUGAGUUUACAAAUAGUUUUUAAUUUAAUUAUUUUUGCUCCCACUCAUGUGUUAAAUUGUUGUCACAGUAAGAUUUAUUUGGUUAUUUUUAGAAUAAUUUAAAUUAGGAUUUUAAUUAAAGAAAUAUUGUUUUGCUUAUAUAGUUGUUUUAGUCAUUUAAUUGUUGUUUUUUAUUAUUUUUAGUUAGUUCUUUCUGUAGAUUUUAACAUGUUGUAGUAUGGUGCAUAUUUAAUGCACAAAAAAGCUACAGUUCAAUUAAUUUAAAAAAAAUGCCUUUGAGGCAGAUGGGUUUUCGUCUGAAACCUUGAUACUUUGAGUUUUGUAGAAAACAAACAAAAAUGAUAAAAUCUUCAAAAAAUAAACAAAAAUGAUAAAAUCUUCAAAAAAUAAAAUCCUUUGAGAUGUUGUUAGGUUUUAGUGUCUAGUCUGUAUAGAAAUUUUGAGAUAUGAAUUUUGACCGUUUUUGCAAAAAAAGGAAAAAAAAUAAACGGCCAUAACUUUUGCAUACAACGUCCAAAAAAAAUUAAUAUAUCAAAAAAAACUAGAAUAAAUUGGUACUCGAUUUCACCGGGGCUUGCCCGGUGAAGUUUUCUCACAUGCUCAAAAUUCCAAAUGGAAAAAAAGUUAUUUCAAAAAGAAGUUUUUUCCAAAAAAAAGAAAAAUAAUUUUAUUUAAAAAUAUUAGGUUGUUUUCAUUGAAAUUCACUAUUAUUGUUACUUAUUAAGUUUAUUUUAAUAAUUGUUUGUAAUUCAAAAAAUUAAAUCAUGUGACAUGACAUCAAGACCCAAGUUGUUUAGGAUUGAUAGCUUACUGUUGUCAGGAAAACAACAAGUGCACAAUUGGCAACUAGGGGCGAUAGAACCAGAAAGUUAAGCGUGCUCGGGCUAAAGCAGUGAAAGGAUGGGUGAUCGGUCGGGAAGUUAGACGAUUUGAAAUGAGUGAUCCACGCUAGAGCAGUGAGGAUGGGUGAUUAGAGAUUAAAUUGUCAAAUAAUUCAAAGAUUAGAAAAUUGGAAUAAAACAUAAAAAAUAUUCAAAAAUAAAAUUUGAAAAAAAUUAAAAAAAAAAUCUACCUUUUCGGGUCAAACAAACAAAAAAAACAGACGGAUCCUUUAGUCCCGGUUCGUAAGUAGAACCGAGACUAAAGGUACUCCCUCCGAGGCGGCCACGUGGAGCACCUUUGGUCCCGGCUUGGAACAGGGCCGGGACUAAAGGUUAGGCCUUUAGUCCCGGUUGGUGAACCGGGACUAAAGCCCCUUACGGGCCGGGACUAAAGGCCAUGUCCCCACUAGUGACAUAUCACACACAUCAAUGCACUAACCUGACUUGAAAACUUGUUCACUCCCUCUUCUUGCUGUGAUGGAGAAAUCAAGCAGCCACACCAGCAACAGAUUUGAUUUUAGUGUGUAAUGAUGAACACUACUCUGGAAAAUCCGAAAACAAAAUCAAGGUAUUGCAAAUAGAUUAUGACAGAACGACAUCCAUGUUCUUACCCGAGUGGCAUCCUAGCUAGUAACUAUUUUCCAACAUAUUGUAGAUAUCUAUCUCAUAUACAUGAAAUUGCCAAUUUAUAAAUAUAACAACGGAAGCAACACAAAGAAAUCGAAGAUGAAAAUUGGAAUAAAACAUAAAAAAUAUUCAAAAAUAAAAUUUGAAAAAAAUUAAAAAAAAUCUACCUUUUCGGGUCAAACAAACAAAAAAAACAGACGGAUCCUUUAGUCCCGGUUCGUAAGUAGAACCGGGACUAAAGGUACUCCCUCCGAGGCGGCCACGUGGAGCACCUUUGGUCCCGGCUUGGAACAGGGUCGGGACUAAAGGUUAGGCCUUUAGUCCCGCCCCUUUAGUCCCGGUUGGUGAACCGGGACUAAAGCCCUUACGGGCCGGGACUAAAGGCCCUGUCCCCACUAGUGACAUAUCACACACAUCAAUGCACUAACCUGACUUGAAAACUUGUUCACUCCCUCUUCUUGCUGUGAUGGAGAAAUCAAGUAGCCACACCAGCAACAGAUUUGGUUUUAGUGUGUAAUGAUGAACACUACUCUGGAAAAUCCGAAAACAAAAUCAAGGUAUUGUAAAUAGAUUAUGACAGAACGACAUCCAUGUUCUUACCCGAGUGGCACCCUAGCUAGUAACUAUUUUCCAACAUAUUGUAGAUAUCUAUCCCAUAUACAUGAAAUUGCCAAUUUAUAAAUAUAACAACGGAAGCAACACAAAGAAAUCGAAGAUGAAAAAAUAAAGAACUUACUCUGAAUAUGCAUGGCUGCUAGCAGUGCACUGAGAGCAUGUCCGUGACUGGGGCUGGCGUAUUAUCUCUCCCGCGCACCUGGCCGACACCGAACUGCAGCCCAAAGCCUCGUCAUCCCAAUGUUGGUGCUGGUGCACUUUGUUGCCGUACAAAGCAUCAGCAUGAAAUCUAUUAACCUAGCGUGGGCAACUUUCCGGCCGAUUGAAAGCUGGCUAGCCUUCAACGUAAUCGACCCAGCAGCUUGGUUCCAAAGAUACAUCAUUUAUUUGUAUGUCUCAGCAGAAUUAACAUAAGUAUGCAUGAAUGCUUAGUAGCCAGCGCGUCCACGGACACUGACCGGUCACGUAUCAAAUAAUGCAUUCUACAUCCGGAGAUUCUAAAUUAGAAACCUCAAAUCCAUACUAUUACAUACAACGUAAACCUAAUACUAAAGAAGCUCGCCCGGCUUCGUCGUGUCCAUGCCCGAAGGCUGGCUGCGCCCCUGGCCAGGUAGAGUAGGACAUGAGACAAUAGCCGUCUCAUGUGAGUCGAGCUCCCGCCGUCUCCCAUGCCCUACUCUUCCACGUCGGAGCCGGUAACCCGGAUGGUGCCAGUCAACAUGAGGUGGCUGACGGAUCCUUCCUGGGAGGAGUGGACGUCCAUCACGACGCGGUUGUGUCGCCCACACUCGUGCACCCUACUGGUUGCCGGAGAGUGCGACUCCGCCUAUUCAACAUCCACCGCCGCGAGGGCCUCCACCACAUCACGUGCCCCCUGCCUCGCCCGACGGGCACACCGCGCCAUUACAUCAUUCGAGGACGGCCAUGCUUCGUGCUCGGAGCGCCAACGGAGGGUUUCGCUUCCGCCAUGGUGUUCAGACGCAAAACCGACCGCACCAUCACUGAUGAGGCAGCGAUGCCGGAUCCAAACACCGAUUGUGCGGACGCAAUAGAUUUCCGGCGUUGCAAGUCCGAGCGCUGCCGUCGUGCGGCCACCUCCCGAGAGUGGCGGAGCGCAACCUGGACGGCCAUCUCCUCCUUGGGGCCACGUGGGACGAGCUUGUGGUCGACGGAUCUGGAGGUGAAGCACUGAGAUCAGCUAACCACCAUCCCGAUGGUUAGUUUGGGUGGCGGAUGGGAGUGAAGUGAAGUGGCUAGGGAUUUGUCCGACGAACGGAUGGGGACGAAUAUAUGUAGGGUGGAUGCAGGCCUGAGCGGGCCAAUGCGGGCAAGGUGGGCAUGCCCAGACAAGCCCGGGCUCCCUCAUAUCCAUCCCAUAUGUAGACUGGAUAUGAGGGGUGCUGAUCAGCCCAGACGUUUCAGGCCGGUUGAGGGGUCCGUCUAGGUUGCUUUUUCAUGACCGAUGAGUGAUCGGGCGGCCUGCCCGGGCGUUUGAGGAGGGUUUAAAAGGUCUGAUUGUAGAUCCUCUUAGGAUUUUCUUUCGCGGGAAGAGAUCGUUAUAUUUGACAUGACAUAUUCUUUUCAUUGAUUAAAAUGGGGAUUCUCAAUAUAUGGAUUAAUUUGGACCUUAAUAAUUCAGACCCACCAAAAGAGCAGUUCCUAAUUUUUAAUUAAGCUUUAAAUUUCUAAUUCUAAAUAUAUGGAUUAAUUUGGACCAUAAUAACUUGGUCUCAUUAGAUAAGCAGCUCCUAAUUACAUAUUGACAUGAUAAUUUCUGGAUAAGUGGAUCCUAAUUAUUGAUUAAUGUGAUGAUUUCUAGACAAAUGGAUCCUAAUUACUGAUUAACACGGUAAUUUCUAGGAAGUCUUUAAUUAAUAUAGGUAUAGAUAUAAAUAGAUAGAUGCAACUAAUAAUAACUUGUCGGAUCACCCGACACAACGUACCUGAUCGUGCAACAAAUCAUGCUACAGCUUUCGCGGCGUCUUGCCGCUUCUCGGCAAAAUUGACAAAAAUGACCCCUGGGGCGAAAGAACUCACGGAUUGACCCCUCGGGGGAAAUAAUUCACCGGCCUGACCCUUUUGUAUGGCGCCCGACACCUAGGCGCCACACUGUACUGUGUGACGCCUAGAGGUUCGGCGCCACACCCCCGACCACGUGGCAGGGAGGGGCCCACCCCUAGGCAGUGUGACGCCUAAGCCUCAGGCAUCACACAUUGUAAUGUGUGGCGCCUAACGCUUAGGCGCCACACAUUGACUUAUACAGCCACGGGCCAGCCCCCCUCCCCACCCCCUCCCUCAUUCAAACAGAAACUGCCACUGCGGUGGCGGCUGGCUCUCAUCCCCUCCCUAAUCCCCUCCCCCAUCUCCUUCAGAUCUGGGGAUUUCUUUCUUGGAUUGAUCUCCCAAGGUAAUGUCCUCCCCCAUCCCUUCCCUUUCCCAUCCUUCUAUCCAAUUGUAUUAGGUUUUGGUUGAGUAGAUUGAUUUUAGUAGAUUGAUUUGAGUAGGUUCUUAGGAUUUGACUAGUUAGGAUAUGAGUUAGGAUUUGGUUGAGUAUAUGAGUAGUUAGUAGUUAGUAGUAGUAGUAGUUAGUAGUAGUAGUAGUUAGUAGUAGUAGUUAGUAUUAGUAGUAGUUCAUAUGAGUAUAUGAGUCUUAUUUGAAUAUGAGUAUCAGUAGUAGUUCAUAGUAGUUAGUAUUAGUAGUAGUUCAUAUGAGUAUAGUUAGUAUUAGUAGUAGUUCUUAGGAUUGUAGGAUGGUGUAAUUUUUUGAAUAUGAGUCUUAUUUGAAUAUN